GAUGAACGCUGGCGGCGUGCCUAAUACAUGCAAGUCGAGCGAACAGACGAGGAGCUUGCUCCUCUGACGUUAGCGGCGGACGGGUGAGUAACGCGAGGAUAACCUACCUAUAAGACUGGGAUCACUUCGGGAAACCGGAUCUAAUACCGGAUAAUAUAUUGAACCGCAUGGUUCAAUAGUGAAAGACGGUUUUGCUGUCACUAAUAGAUGGAUCCGCGCCGCAUUAGCUAGUUGGUACGGUAACGGCUUACCAAGGCGACGAUGCGUAGCCGACCUGAGAGGGUGAUCGGCCACACUGGAACUGAGACACGGUCCAGACUCCUACGGGAGGCAGCAGUAGGGAAUCUUCCGCAAAGGGCGAAAGCCUGACGGAGCAACGCCGCGUGAGUGAUGAAGGUCUUCGGAUCGUAAAACUCUGUUAUUAGGGAAGAACAAAUGUGUAAGUAACUAUGCACGUCUUGACGGUACCUAAUCAGAAAGCCACGGCUAACUACGUG
rnacentral:rRNA from 1 species